rnacentral:lncRNA from 1 species
AUCACCACCAUGUUGGAGUUUGAGAAGGAGUGCUGCCCUAAACGGAGUAUACACAGUAUGUGUCCGGGCCUUAAAAGGUGAAGAAUAUUUAGACAGAUGAAGAGCAUUCCAGGUGGAAAGAACCAUAUAAGCAGACACUGGAAAGCAGGGUUUCUUCAAACACCUUUGAUAUACUGCAAGGGCUCUUUCUGAAGGAUGAGGAGGGAGAAGGUGGCCCAGGAGUCCACUGCGAGAUCCGAGGCAAGAGCAGAGCGGGGAUCAGGAGGCUUGAAGCAACCUGAAGGCAGCAGGAAAGAGCUGAUGUCUACUGGAUGCCUGAAGCAACACCUUAAUCUCAAUCUCCCCUGCUGGGAGCAGAUGCAGCGGGGUCCAGACAGACAGAGGCAAGGACUGCAGAGGGAAGGCCCCUUCUCCUGGAGCUGCCCCAAAAGCGGCCACCGGGGCCAUUCUUCUUCCUAGAAAGAACAUCUUUCUGCUUCCUAGUCAAGCUGCUGGACACUGCAGGUCAGGUUCACCCGCCUGACCACUGCAAAUCUCUUAGCUCAUUUUACUCCCCUCUGUUUUCUAACAGUGAUUCAGCUGGGUGAAUCAGGAGCCAG